rnacentral:lncRNA from 1 species
AGAGGCUGCGGCGCGUGGCCUGAGGCGGAGAGCCGGGCUGCGGGGGUCCGGGCCAGGCCAGGCGCCGGCCUGACCCGCCUCGCCGGCAAGAGCAGGCCGGGCUUCCUCCUCCCUUGGCGGGCGGGGGAGGGAAAGGGGGAUCCUGGCCGGGGGUAAGGGGGAAAGGUGGUCCUGAUUCUCCCUGUGCCACCGCCACAAAGCUGAUCCUGGCCUCCUGCGGAGAAGCCUGAGCGCCUUCCCGCAGACCUGACGCGACCCCCUCCCAGGUACCUGGGCCUCGGCCUGGUCUAGCGAGUCCCCUUCCUCCCAAGGAGCAGCCGGCGGAGCUCGGGUGGAGGAAAGCGAGGAGGCGACCAGGAGGAUGCCGCCGCCGCCGCCGCAGGGCCCGGGGCUUCUGCAGGGCGCAAGGCCUCCCUCACCAGGGUAAGGGGCUGGCGAUCAACCUGGACGCCUGGGACCUUGGGAGCAAGCAUCCCGCAGCCGAGCAGGCGACGGCGCGGCCACCGCCUAGAGAGGAGCCGGGGCCCGGGGCGGCGUGCGGGUCGGCAGCAGCCGGCUUGGCCUAUCCGAAACCCCAGGCCUGGAAGCGGCUGCUUUAGGCGUCAAGUUGAGCGGGGUAUGUGUGUCCUCUUGGGAAAAAGGUGAGAAAUGGAGCCGGACUUUCUCCACUCGGUAGGGGUUAAGCUACCACACACACCCCCAAACACAUGCCCACGUGCAAGUCCCUCCCACCCGCCCUCCCAGGGGCGAAGAGACCCUGUCCCAGUGGAAGUGGGGAAACCCAGUCGGGUACAGAAAGCAGAGGCCAUGGCGCAGAGCGGAGGCGCGGCUUUCUGGGGCUCAGCCCUAGGGCUACAGACCCAGGGCGCGGAGAUGCUCGCGGCCGGGCCACCCACCAGAGCCAGGCAACCGGCGCUUCCAGGCGAGCUCCGCGGGGCCGAGGUGCCGGGAGAAGCGGCCCCGGGCGCCCGCGCGCUGCCCGACCUGGGUAACAGGCAAAGCGGAGCCCCGGGGUCGAAGUCCUAAAGUUACUAAUCCCGCGGAGGGGGAGAGAGCGUGCCUCGGGCCGCCCGGGGCGGUCAUUUGAGCGUGUUUACUUAAAGACUUUGCAAGCAGAGCGCGCGCGAAAUCGUCGGAUUUCCAGCGAGGCAGCAAAUAUUUGCAGGCAGAAGAAAGAAGCGGAGCCGAGCCGAGCCGCCGAGUCCCUCCCCCCGGAGCCCCGGAGCCCCGGCGCCUGCCUGGGCGGUCCCGGCCGCGCAGACAGAAAAGAAGCCGGGAAUCUGCGGGGCUGGGGGGCGGGGAGCGACACCAAAGGCCAGAAACUGCAGCACGGCCCGAGGCCCUGGCGAGCUGGGCCUGGGGGAGGAGAAGUCCCUUCCCAUUCCAGCUCGAUCAAUCUUGCUGGGCUGCGAUCGGUCAAUAAAAACGGUGUGAAGCGGCCGCUGUCGCUGUGAGUCUGGGGAGGAAGUGGAGGCCAAAGGUGUCGAGGCCGGCGCCAGUACCCCGCACCAGCCGGGUCCGCGGCCCCGCGGUCUGCACGUCGCAGGCCGGGGGCCAGAGCUUUGCCGGCAGCCGAGAGCGGCCCGGCGGGGCCUUUAAUUGGGUGUCUCCAUUUUAAUAGAGGCCAUUGUUGGAGCAAUUAGAGAAAGACAAUAACCGCCCAGAGACGUUUAAUUCGAUUCCCUGCGCCCGCCGCAGUACGCACCGGGGCGCUCUGGAAGAGUGGCCGAGGCUGCGCGGAAGGGAGGGUCCGCUUGGGGAGGCGCCGGCUUCUUUCCUUGCUUGCUUUGCCUUCGGUGUGGGAAUUGUAAAGGGCGACUGGGGCAAGAUGAAAGCGGGGCGAGGGCGACCUGAGCCAGGCCAGGGCCGGCCUCUCUAGCCCACGCCGGGCGCCCGCGGGACCGCCGCGCCUUUCGCGGCGCGCGUCCAGCUGUGGCCGCCGCGGAGGUCCCCAGCGCCUGUUCA